AAUGGGGAAGAAAGGUUAUUUAAGUGACUUUGAACGGGGCAUGGUUGUUGGUGCCAGACGGGCUCGUUUGAGUAUUUCAGAAACUGCUGAUCUACUGGGAUUUUUUGGGGGUUUACAGUGAAUGAUCCGAAAAAAAGAAAAUACCCAGUGAGCCGCAGUUCUCUGAGCGAAAAUGCCUUGUUGAUGGAAGAGGUCAGGCUGGUUCGAGCUGAUAGAAAGGGAACAGUAACUCAAAUAACCACUCGUUACAACCGAGGUAUGCAGAAGAGCAUCUCUGAACGCACACCACGUCAAACCUUGAAGCAGGUGGGCUACAGCAGCAGAAGACCACACCGGGCGCCACUCCUGUCGCCUAAUGAAGUGGUCGUGUGUGUGUGCGCGCAUGGUGUUUGCUUUUGUUUCAGGUUCCUGGUUCCCACCCACGCUCCGCCCCCAUUCCUGCCUGUCUGCCUCAGCCGAAUUAUUCAAUCAAGCCUCAGCCGCCGUCUCCACCUGCAACUCAUCUUUUACUCAUUUUCUCUAGCUAUAUAUUCUGUUAGUCUGUGCCGGAUCGUGCCUUUGUCUGACUUAGUGCCGUUGAAGCCUUGUUCUAUGCCUAGUAAUACUUCCCGGUUUUGUACUUUUGCGUGUUCGCCAUUUAUGCAUUUAGCCUGACUCCUCUGAAUACUGUUGCUUCGGUUUUUUGAAUUCUUGCCUGUCUUGCUGUUCUUGCCUCUGUACCAGUUGUGUGCCUUCGCCUGCCUGGAAAUUUUUGACUUUUUGGAUUUUUGACCUCCGCCUGGAUUGUGGUUUACGAGACUGUUCGCUGAUUCUGUUGCUUCGUUGUUUGAUAAUAAACUGCCAAGUUUUUCCCUGA